rnacentral:rRNA from 1 species
CCUACGGGAGGCAGCAGUGAGGAAUAUUGGUCAAUGGACGCAAGUCUGAACCAGCCAUGCCGCGUGCAGGAAGACGGCUCUAUGAGUUGUACACUGCUUUUGUACGAGGGUAAACGCAGAUACGCGUAUCUGUCUGAAAGUAUCGUACGAAUAAGGAUCGGCUAACUCCGUGCCAGCAGCCGCGGUAAUACGGAGGAUUCAAGCGUUAUCCGGAUUUAUUGGGUUUAAAGGGUGCGUAGGCGGUCGGAUAAGUCAGAGGUGAAAUCCCGAGGCUCAACUGCGGAAUUGCCUCUGAUACUGUUCGGCUGGAGAGUAGUUGCGGUAGGCGGAAUGUAUGGUGUAGCGGUGAAAUGCUUAGAGAUCAUAAAGAACACCGAUUGCGAAGGCAGCUUACCAAGCUACUACUGACGUUGAGGCACGAAAGCGUGGGGAGCAAACAGGAUUAGAUACCCUGGUAGUC